CCCUUCCAUUAUGUGACUGAAAAAAAAAUUCCAAAAAUGGGUAACAAUUGUAUCGAAAAGAGAAAAUCGAGUGCACCGUUUUAUGUUAGGGUGUGUUUGAGUUGAGUAUUUUGUCUUGAUAUCGUACAAAGCAAGAAUAUUUCAUACAUCGUCUCGCUUCAAAUUCUAUCAUUUUUAUACAUUAAAGCUACAGGUUGACGUUAUAACACAAAAAAAUCACAGUACUAAAAGAUGAAAUAUAUAGGUCAAGUGAAAUACCUAUCUAAUG
rnacentral:lncRNA from 1 species